rnacentral:rRNA from 1 species
AGUAACGCGUGAGGAACCUGCCUCAAAGAGGGGGACAACAGUUGGAAACGACUGCUAAUACCGCAUAAGCCCACGGCUCGGCAUCGAGCAGAGGGAAAAGGAGUGAUCCGCUUUGAGAUGGCCUCGCGUCCGAUUAGCUGGUUGGUGAGGUAACGGCCCACCAAGGCGAUGAUCGGUAGCCGGACUGAGAGGUUGAACGGCCACAUUGGGACUGAGACACGGCCCAG